AGCCGUCGUCGCGCGUCGCGCCGCGCACACGGAAGCGUCGGGCGGCCUCGGGAGCGCGCCGCGGGUGUGGACCGGGCCUCUGCGGGCAGGAGGCCGGCUCGCUGGACUUCUCCGGGGCGCGGCGGGUCUCUAAACCUCGGACACUGUGAUGGGCAGCGGCCAGGAGAGGUGCCCAUGGCGUCGGAGCGGCGCAAGGCCGGGUACCGCUGGGGCAGCCCUUCGGAAGGGCGUCCCCGCAAGCGCAGCUGCCUCCGGGGCCCCGGUGAUGUGGCCCCCUCCAGCCGGCAGCCUCCUGGCUCUGCGUCGCGCUCCCGAGCGGCCCUCAGCCCUGCGCGCCUGAAAACCCGGGAGGACGAUGCGGCCUGCGCGUCCAGACUACCCCGGAGCUCCUCCUCGCGCCGCAGAAAUUCCUCCUCCCCCUCCUCCUCCUCCUCCUCCCCCUGCUCCUGUUCCUCCUGCUCCUCCUGCUCCUCCUGCUCCACGUCCUCCUCCCGCUCCUCCGGGGUAGGUGUGGGCGGGGCCGCCUCCCGAGGCUACCUGAGUCGGAGCGCUCGGAGGUGCCCUUCGUCCAAGGUAUCCCCUCUGCGCCGUCCCGCCGCCUCCUUGGAAGAAAUGGCUUCUCUCGAGGAGGACGCCUGCCUCCUUAAGGUUGAUUCCAAAGAUAGUUCCCGUAACUCCAUCAGCUCUGAGUUUGCAGCUAAAGCUGAGGGUCAGAAUGAUAUGAUGGAGGAGCCAGACAAGAUCCAGAAGAGGAAAAGGGAUAGGCUUCAAGACCAGGGCUCCACUGUCAUCUACCUGAAAGCUAUCCAGGGCAUCCUGGGAAAGUCGAUGCCCAGAAGGAAAGGAGAGGCUGCAGCCCCCAGGGUGAAGCCAAGUCCAAGAGACCAAGGACCAGCCCGGAGCGUCUGCCUCACUGCUCCCCAGAAGAAGAAAGAGCCAUCCCCACAGGUCAGGGUGGAAGAGGAAAGGCCUGUGUUAGACAAGGGCACCUUCUGUAUCAGGAGAGUGGUUAUAGACCCUCAGGAGAAACCCUGUGCCCAGCCACUUGGGGGCCAAAGGACAGUCAUUGACAAGCCCUCUCCACCUCUAGAGUUUGUGGAUGAUGCUGACUCGAGUCUAGAAAUCCAAAAGCAUAAAGACAGGGAGGUGGUGCUGGAGCACCUCUCUUCAGGAAGUGACUGGUCUGAUGUGGACGAAGUCUCUACAGUGAGAUUCUCUCAGGAGGAGCCCAUCUCGCUGAAAUACUCAGCAGUUCCAGAGCCUUCUUUCUUCCCCACUGACUAUGUCAUGUACCCUCCUCAUUUGUAUAGUAGUCCAUGGUGUGACUAUGCCAGCUACUGGACCAGCAGCCCCAAGACUCCAGGCUACCCCUCUGUGUGCAGCAGCAGCCAUGACACAGUGCAUGCUGGGAAGAGGAGCUGCAGCCUCCUGUGUGAUUAUUCCCCCAGCCCUACAGUGGGUGCCCAGAAUACCUCCAAAGACCUGAAGGCCGAAGAUAAAGGCAGAUCGAAGAAUUCUCGCUCGUUUUAUUUCUCCAAAAGCUCUGGAGGAGAAGAGGUGAAGGAGAAAAGAACAUUUCGAGAGGAGACACCACCUUGUUCUGGUGGAGGACACACAUCUACUUUCCUGCCAAGGAGCCACCAGGAUCCAGGCCUGGAGGAGGGCUUCAUUGAUACCCAUUGUCACUUGGACAUGCUCUACUCCAAGCUGUCUUUCAAAGGGACCUUCACAAAGUUCAGGAAAAUGUAUAGCAGCUCUUUCCCUAAGGAGUUUCAGGGCUGCAUCUCAGACUUCUGUGAUCCUCGGACACUGACAGAUUGCCUGUGGGAGGAGCUAUUGAAGGAGGAUCAGGUUUGGGGGGCCUUUGGCUGUCACCCUCAUUUUGCACGGUACUAUAGUGAGAAUCAAGAAAGAAAUCUUUUGCAAGCCUUAAGGCACCCCAAGGCUGUGGCAUUUGGGGAAAUGGGCCUGGAUUACUCUUACAAGUGCACCACACCUGUCCCAGAACAACACAAGCAUUUUCCCCUCUGCCGUACUGGGGAUGGACAAGCUGUGUACCUCUUGAGCUACACUCCCAGCUGUCAGCGCUCUUAUGUAUUUGAGAGACAGCUGCAGUUGGCUGUCUCUCUAAAGAAGCCCUUGGUCAUCCAUUGCCGAGAAGCUGACGAAGAUCUGCUUAACAUCAUGAAAAAAUUUGUGCCCUUCGACUACAAGAUCCAUAGGCACUGCUUCACCGGCAGCUACCCAGUCAUCGAGCCUCUGUUAAAGUACUUCCCCAACAUGUCUGUGGGCUUCACCGCAGUGCUGACAUACUCUUCUGCCUGGGAGGCCCGGGACGCUCUGAAACAGAUCCCCCUGGAGAGAAUCAUUGUGGAGACUGAUGCUCCCUACUUCCUCCCUCGCCAGGCAGUGCAAAGCCCUACCCUGUAGAGGGCAGUCCACAGAAGCGAGGGACCCUGCUCACCCAGAGCCCCCUGCUAGAACUCUCCCUGCACCUGCAGGUUCCCAAAAGCCUUUGCCAGUAUGCCCACCCUGGCCUGGCCUUGCACACAGUUCGAGAGAUUGCCAGGGUCAAAGAGGAGCCGCUGUCCCGAACCUUGGCUGCUUUGCGUGAGAACACCAGUCGCCUCUACAGUCUGUAAGCCAGAGGACGCAAGCAGGAGCCUUGGAAAAGGUCAUGCCAUUCACAUGAUCUGCUUGUUAGACAUCAGGCCAAGCAGGUCUUUGGCUACAUCUUCUUAAUGUACAGAAUAUAGACAGGAUGAGCAUGAAGCCUGAUUUGUGUUGGGUGAACUUGGCUUGGAACCUUCUUCCUUUUCUCUUUCAAAUCUCCAGGGUGACCAGCAGCCUGACAGAACAUGGGCUGGGUCCGAACUUUGCCUGCGUCCCAGGUCAAGGAUGUGACUGCAGAGCCUGUUGGAACAGAAAACCAAGAUUGGACAUUGUCCUCAGAACUCCAUGCUAAGGCUUCAGCUCCUGGCUGGUGGGUGGGUGGGGCAUGAGUGGGGGUAAGGGGCUGCCCAGUAUGGCUGCUGGGUUCUGCCUCUUGGUCAGAAUGUUCCAGGGCAGUCCCUGGAUGAAUGCAAUGUAAGGGUAUGAGUCUGUCAGUCCAAGUCCCUGUUCUUUGCAGCCUGUGUAUUUGAGCAGUCUGUGAAUAAAGUCACCCUCCUCCUCAUCUGAGCACUGUGGCUGUAUAACUUAGUCCCUGCUUCUCGGUUAUAGAAACAAACCCUGGAGAAACCAACCCCUCCUUCCCCAGUACCCUCCCAUGUGCUGUCGCUGUCCCAGUGCCAGCACAAGCAGAAGGACACAGCCUCUGGUCUCCUUGGCCCACUGCUGUCAGAGUGGAGGUGUGCAGAGGAGGUACUCCCUGCUUACUGAGGCCACCAGGGUUUUUCUGAGGUGUUAAAUGGAUAAGGGUUCAGUCUAUAGCAGAAGCUACUUGCUGAGGUGUCAGGCAUCCUAGCCUCCCUUUACUCCAUUUUCAUCAUGUUCUUCUGGGAUAUUGGACCAAAAAUAAUCCCUCAGAUUAAUCCUUUGUGACUGACCCUAGUGUGCCCCACCCAGGUUGACAGGAGAAAAAACUUAAUUCUCCACGGCUCCCUGUGGGGCACCCAGCUGUUAUUUUGCCUUUGCAAAACAAGCAGUCCUGGUCCUCUCCAGGUGUCUCCCUUGCCUUGGCCUCUGUGGUUCCUCUUUAGAGGUCAGAGCCCGCCCUCUGCCUUGAGCAGCCAUAUCAUUUCAAGGUCGGAGCUCUUCUGUCUCCCUGCUGUGCCUUGUAACAGUGGACUUACUGCAGGCCAUAGAGGUCAAGGAGUAAGUGCAAGGAGACUCCUGCACUUUGCUGAAAAUGAUUCUCAUCCUGAUCUGCCCCUGGAGUCCCUUAUCUUGUUUCUUAGAGGCUUAUGUUAUAAAAUCUAUCACUGAUUGGGGAUUUCUAGCUGUGUAUGAAAGGGACAUUUGAACCUUGUGAGGCAAAGUGGAAUGGAUAUAAUAUUUCUUAUCUGAAGUGGCCUGAGAAGGCCUAGAUCACUCUCCAUCUCCCAUGGGUCACCUGUUGUCUGUGCCUCAAAUUUGCCAGUGUGAGGAAAUUGAGAACUUGAUCUGCUUGAAAGAUGUGGGGUUGCUGAGUAUAUCUGAUGCCUCAUCAUCACCCACAUGAACGAGAGCCUGGCCAUCUCCUCUACAAUAAGCCCCUGAGCCAACGCUGCCUGUGUGUGAGACCAGCUUGCUCUGUGCUGAGGGAUUAUAAGUGAAUCUCCUACCCUCUGCAUUCCCCUGACAAGGAGCAGCAUGAGGUAAUGUCAGUCUACCUUUUUCUCUCAAGAUUCAGGGCCACCAUGUGCAUGCUGUUAACCCAGUGAGACCUCACCUGGCUAGGUGUGAGAAUUGGGUGGCCUUGUUUUUUACUGUGAUUUAAGGGUGGCUUUACUUGAUUGUUUUCGCUGUGCAGCCAGAAUGCUUUCUACGUGCCCGUCUUUGGCCAUCUCUGAGAAUAAAGUGUUGGGUCCUCUGGCUA